CCAGUAGUGCCCAGCGGAUCCCUACUUCUGUGUCGGCACACAGUGUAAUUCCGCCUUCAGCUUCUUUUCAGGCUGGCAUGACAGAAGAACAAGCCUUACAGCGGGCUCUGGAGAUGUCUUUGGCAGAAUCCAGUCCCUCAGUUCAGCCAGCCCUAAGCCCUCAGGAGCAGGAGGAUCUUGCUCUAGCCCAGGCUUUAGCCGUCAGUGAAGCAGAAUACCGACGUCAGCAGCAGAGGCAACAGGCAAGAGACUCCAAACAGUCCAACUGCAGCCUUUCUUAGUCUCCAAUUAGGUUUUUUCUGUUUGUUUUGUUUUAUGUCAUUUAAAACAUGAAUAUCCUGGAGAUCAGUGAAGACGAGCCGUCUGAAGUUGGGACGUUACCACCUUCUACAACACAAGCACAUGCUGUACUUUCCCAGCGAGAUGUUAUUUUUAACCGACGAUUUGCUUUGUAUAUAUUUUAUAUGCUGAUCAUAACAAAUGCAUUAUAUUAACACGUGAUUGUUGAAUAAAUUAUUUCCAAGGCGUA